rnacentral:rRNA from 1 species
CACGUAGGGCGCAAGCGUUGUCCGGAAUUAUUGGGCGUAAAGAGCUCGUAGGCGGUUCGAUAAGUCGGAUGUGAAAUCUCCACGCUCAACGUGGAGAGGCCAUUCGAUACUGUCGUGACUCGAGUCCGGUAGGGGAGUGUGGAAUUCCCGGUGUAGCGGUGAAAUGCGCAGAGAUCGGGAGGAACACCCGUAGCGAAGGCGGCACUCUGGGCCGUGACUGACGCUGAGGAGCGAAAGCGUGGGGAGCGAACAGG